ACGUAGGUGGCGAGCGUUGUCCGGAAUUAUUGGGCGUAAAGAGCAUGUAGGCGGUUUUUUAAGUCUGGAGUGAAAAUGCGGGCUCAACCCCGUAUGGCUUUGGAUACUGGGAGACUUGAGUGCAGGAGAGGAAAGGGGAAUUCCCAGUGUAGCGGUGAAAUGCGUAGAUAUUGGGAGGAACACCAGUGGCGAAGGCGCCUUUCUGGACUGUGUCUGACGCUGAGAUGCGAAAGCCAGGGUAGCGAACGGGAUUAGAUACCCCGGUAGUACUGGCCGUAAACGAUGGGUACUAGGUGUAGGAGGUAUCGACCCCUUCUGUGCCGGAGUUUACGCAAUAAGUACCCCGCCUGGGGAGUACGGCCGCAAGGCUG
rnacentral:rRNA from 1 species